GUUCUGUUCUUCCUGUCGCGAGGAAGCCAUUGUAGGCGGUGAAACAAUAAGGGAUCUAAUAGAGGUGGGAAGAAUUUCGGAGAACAUGGCGGCUAUGGGUGGGGACGAAAGGCAGAGGAUGGAGGCUCCGGCAGGGGACAAGUUCCCCGAGGGGCUGCGCGUGCUCGCUGUGGACGACGACUCCGUCUGCCUCAAGGUACUGGAGGACGUUCUGCGCCGCUGCAAAUACAACCCAACGACCGUGACAGACGCGAAGACGGCGUUGAAGAUGCUGAGGGCGGGGAAGGCAGAGUUCGACCUGGUGAUCACCGACGUGCACAUGCCAGGCAUGGACGGCUUCAAGCUCCUUGAGCUCAUCCACCUUGAGAUGGAUCUGCCCGUCACAUCAUGCUAUCUGUGUAUUGCAACAAGAAGGCUGUGAUGAAGGGCAUAACACAUGGGGCAUGCGACUAUUUGGUGAAACCAGUGUGCACCAACGAGCUAAAAAAAUAUAUGGCAACAUGUUGAAAGGAGGAGAAAUGAUGAUGAUGAUGAUGAUGAUGAUGAUGAUGAUGAUGAUGACGAUGGAGUGCAGCUAAGGACUGCUGCCACGAGCAAGGACUCGGAGAAUAAGGGCAAUGAAGGAUAUGAUUCUAACAAGAACCCAGAGAUCACACACAUAUCCACCACCAGGAAGAAGCCAAGGGUGGUAUGGACAGUUGAGCUUCAGAACAAAUUUCUAGAAGCUAUUGACCAGAUCGGCCUAGACAAGGCCGUUCAAAAAAGAUAUUGGAACUAAUGAACGUGGAUUACCUCACAAGAGAGAGUAUCGCAAGUCAUCUACAGAAGUAUAGGUUGCACUUGAGAAGAGUCAAAUCAAAUCCAGUUGGUGAUGCCUCUGAAAGACAUAACUCAUCCUACAACAACAUGAACAACCAGGGUUGUUUCAUGCGUAACCAUGAACAUGAAAAUGGUGUAUGUCCUCUGGUUUUUUAAGUCCAAACAAUUUUUCUGCAAUUUUUCACUUAGCUCAGCCGGCGGACACACAUAGAAACUCAUGCACGGGGUCAUUCAUCCAUGAUGGUAGAAUGUACAAGUAUGUCGCACCAAAACUGUCGGAUGCGGGAAGAUUCGCUGGCUCCAUUGACCCUCCUACCAACCUAUACAACAACAUACCCAAUGAAACAACUUUAGAUGAAUUUCCUUCAUAUAGUUUUGGUGAUUCCUAUGCGGGCCUCAUGCGUGGUAAGCUGGUGGAGACAAACAAAGGCAAGUUUCCAGACCCUUCAUACAAUUCUGCAACACAUGCGACGUUGACUGGUGUUCUUCAUAGAGGUAUAAUAUCUCCCAUCUCAUCAAAUGUGAACGUAGAGGUGCAAAAUGAAAUGGCAACGGUCAAAAGAAAUGCUACAUCUAUGGCAGGCUUCAAUGAGCAGAUUGUUCCAAAAAAAUGCACCUAGCAACCAAAGCUUCAUAGGGAUGUUGAAUCCCUGCGGCAGUCAUCCAGUGUCAUCCCUAGCAGCAGUAUGUCAUUCGAUCGCUUGAGUGAGCGGAUGGCACCAUUCAACAUAGCAAAAAACACAAGCUCAGUCGGAAUGAUGUUGAAUGAAAACACCGCACCUGGUAAUGGUAGAAUCUCAAUGACACAUACAGAUAUGGUUAAUAGUGGAAGAACUAUUUCUACACUUCCCAACCAUCAGACAGAAAAUGUCGACGCAAUGACUGACAAGGUUGAUGGCGGGGAUGCAGUUAGCAAUCACCCUAUGCAAGUGGGUACCAUUGGUCAGCAUGCACUUAAUGAUCAAUUUAAUGACAUCAAUGACUUCUCAUGGGAUGAUUUUUUUCUCAACCCGCUGGAUGCAGAUUUCACUAUCGAGGAUGAUUUCAUGGGUGGAGAAGAAUAGUUCUGUCUAUUAGUAGCCCAACCUAUGCACGCGAUGUUUUCUGCAUGUGCGUUGGCGACUUGUACACUAAUCAUUUGUCUGUUCUUGCACAUUGUAUCAUGAAAUUGUGUGUACCAGUGUAUUCUAGUUGGAAGCAUGGUCAUGCUGGGUAA